rnacentral:rRNA from 1 species
AGCGAACGCUGGCGGCAGGCCUAACACAUGCAAGUCGAACGGAUCCUUCGGGAUUAGUGGCGGACGGGUGAGUAACACGUGGGAACGUGCCCUUUGGUUCGGAACAACUCAGGGAAACUUGAGCUAAUACCGGAUGUGCCCUUCGGGGGAAAGAUUUAUCGCCAUUGGAGCGGCCCGCGUCUGAUUAGCUAGUUGGUGAGGUAAAGGCUCACCAAGGCGACGAUCAGUAGCUGGUCUGAGAGGAUGAUCAGCCACAUUGGGACUGAGACACGGCCCAAACGCCUACGGGAGGCAGCAGUGGGGAAUCUUGCGCAAUGGGCGAAAGCUUGACGCAGCCAUGCCGCGUGAAUGAUGAAGGUCUUAGGAUUGUAAAAUUCUUUCACCGGGGACGAUAAUGACGGUACCCGGAGAAGAAGCCCCGGCUAACUUCGUGCCAGCAGCCGCAGUAAAAC